UCCCGAAGAGCCCUCACAGAGCCUAAGUGUCCAUCGGACUUAGCCGCUGUCGGCCUCGGAAA
rnacentral:pre_miRNA from 1 species